AAGUGUUGUGUUUUGUGAACAAUCUGACGCCGGCUGAGUCAAGGCUGCACGCACAGUAGGUGGCGGUAAUGCACACACAAGGUUGCUUGCCAACCGCCAUAAAAAUCAUAAGAAGAAGAAGAAGAAGGAGAAGAAGAAGAAGACUGCACGCAUGCACAAUUGAAGCUGCUCCGUGAGACAAAGAAGGACGAAGGCUAACUACUUCCAGAAUCCCGAUUUUAAAGCAAUUUGGUGCGCCAUCCAUUUAUCACAGGUAAGUAUAGAAAGAGUGAAAUACGAAGCACGUUUUUGUAUAACAAUUUCCUUUCGAGACUCUUGAGCAGCUGAAGGCCUUCUGUGAACGGCUCGACACUGAUCUUCUGCUCAGAAAGCAGCUGGUGAAAGCUCUUACUGCUCUUGGUGGGCAGAAUUUGGCAGACACGGUGAGGACAAUGCUGAGGAAAAUUGCCACAAACAAAGUCCUGGAGCAGCUUGGCCUCCGUGGAAAGUCAGGAAAAGUGGCGUUUGAGGACUUGCCCCUUUACAGAAUAAUAAAUAAGGCAUGCAGGGGUGUUUACAAGCAGACGACCACAGCUGAAGUGGAUUGUGAGCUUGGAGAGGUCCUGAAACUGGCCACUUUUCGAAAGGGAGGUUCAAAAUUUGAGGAGAAGAGGAGGAAUUAAGAGGGAGGACAAAAAAGGAAAAAGAAACAAGCAAAAGAACAGAGUGAGAUGAGAGGAUUUGGGUUUCCCUGCUUGGGCUGCUGCCCCCGCAACCCGACCUCGGAUAAGCGGAAGAAGAUGGAUGGAUGGAUGGAUGGAUUUACUUCCAGGAAGAGAACCAAGAAGGGGCAGGAUACACUGACGCGCACGACCAAGACCACUGCAUUCCAUUCCAUUUGUAUUAUAGUUAUCACUAAUAAAGAAUUAUUUCUGUUGAAAUC